AUUGGUUUCGACGGGAUUGUUGAGACCAGAGUAGCGGGUAGAGGAUUCUCGUUGGCCUCUUAAAAAAGCGAGAAACUUAAAAUUAAACGCUAAAAACGAUAAUUUCGCUUUAGCUGCUGCCUAAUAUAGGCAGCCCGUCGGUCUGAGGUUCCUGCACCUCAGGUAGCCGGCGUCAUUAAGUCAGGCCUUCGGUGUAGGAAGGUUAAACACUGGAACUUUUACAGUGGUAGCCUUGAGCUGUAACAGUAUUUAAAGGAUACCGAAGCGCAAAGCCUUCACAUGGGCGUGGCGCAAAGGGAAUGGGAAGCAAUUCCGAAAUCAUGUGAUACACCCGUAGAAGCGCUGGAGGAUAUAGUUUCGGACAGGGGUUCGACUCA
rnacentral:tmRNA from 1 species